GUUUGAUUCUGGCUCAGAACGAACGCUGGCGGCGUGGAUAAGACAUGCAAGUCGGACGCUGGAUUGUGUGUAGCAAUACUCGCAGUCUGGAGUGGCGUAAGGGUGCGUAACACGUGGGUAAUUUGCCUGGAAGCCCGGGAUAACUCCGAGAAAUCGGAGCUAAUACCGGAUGUGAUCAGGGGCUGGCAUCAGCUCCUGCUCAAAGUCGGGGACCGAAAGGCCUGACACUACCAGAUAAGCCCCGCGGCCUAUCAGCUAGUUGGCGGGGUAACGGCCCACCAAGGCUAAGACGGGUAGCUGGUCUGAGAGGACGACCAGCCACACUGGAACUGAGACACGGUCCAGACACCUACGGGUGGCAGCAGUCGAGAAUUUUUCACAAUGGGGGAAACCCUGAUGGAGCGACGCCGCGUGGGGGAUGAAUGGCUUCGGCCCGUAAACCCCUGUCAUUUGCGAACAAACCUGGUGGUUGAACAAACUGCCAGCUGAUAGUAGCAGAAGAGGAAGGGACG
rnacentral:rRNA from 1 species